UCCCUCUGUGGGUCCAUUCUGGCAGCCCCCAGUCACCAUAGCAGCCUGAGGGCUUUCCAGCCUGGAAGCUAAGCAGGAUCGGGCCUGGCUGUGCUUGGAUGGGGAACUGCGUGGAAAGACCAGGCCUAGAGGCUU
ensembl:rRNA 5S_rRNA 5S ribosomal RNA